ACUCUACUCAGCAGGGAUUAGGCACACAACCACACAACCACACACACAAACACACACACACACUAACACAAGCCAAAUACCCUCUAUCCUAAGCCUCACUGAGAGGUUGUAGCGAUAGAAGCAGCGGGAGAGCGGGGACUGUUUUUUUUAUAAAAGUACCGUUUAUAAAGAAAAAGAGAGAGCGAGCAGUGGAACCUUGUUCUACAGAGGCGAUGUGAUCGAUCCUCGAGAUCGUGGCAAGUA
rnacentral:lncRNA from 1 species